CCUACGGGUGGCAGCAGUGAGGAAUAUUGGUCAAUGGGCGCAAGCCUGAACCAGCCAAGUCGCGUGAGGGAUGACGGUCCUAUGGAUUGUAAAACUCUUUUGUCGGGGAGCAAGGCCCGCCACGUGUGGCGGGAAGGAGAGUACCCGAAGAAAAAGCAUCGGCUAACUCCGUGCCAGCAGCAGCGGUAAUACGGAGGAUGCGAGCGUUAUCCGGAUUUAUUGGGUUCAAAGGGUGCGUAGGCGGAAGGUUAAGUCAGCGGUAAAAUGUCGGUGCUCAACACCGGCCUGCCGUUGAAACUGGUCUUCUUGAGUGAGCGAGAAGUAUGCGGAAUGCGUGGUGUAGCGGUGAAAUGCAUAGAUAUCACGCAGAACUCCGAUUGCGAAGGCAGCAUACCGGCGCUCAACUGACGCUGAGGCACGAAAGCGUGGGGAUCGAACAGGAUUAGAUACCCGAGUAGUC
rnacentral:rRNA from 1 species